GCAAUUUUCUUUGCGCUCUGUGAGUGGAUUAUUAGCAUAUGGGGCGGGUCCACAAGUGCCCCGCCUCCUUUGCGGCUGCGCGGCGCCAGCAAGCGUUAGAUUCUGAGUGGCAAUUUUCUUUGCGCUCUGUGAGUGGAACCCCAGGCCUUCCUGACUGGGCCGGGGUUCUCACGUUAAGGCAAGCCCACAUUACUCCAGCCGCCGAACCACAGUCUCCCCGAGCAGUCGAGCUCAAGGGCAAAGAAACAGGCCCAGGAUGUAAAGACCCUUGCCCAGGUCAGUGGCUAGCAGUGGUGGAAAUGAAACUCAACUCCAGGACCUGGGCCUGCCUCUUCAGGGAGCUCAACCAACAUCUGCCAACUAGUGAAGAAGCCAGGACAGGCCCAUGUCACCUUCUCUACCUCUUGGUCUCCUGGAUCACAAGCCUGCCUGUCACUAUCAUUGCUGGAACAGGAGGGGAUUUCCAGGCACCAGUUGGAGAAGCUUUGGAAAUGCGACUCAGACACCAUAUGGGGAGAAGAAUGAAGAGAUGGAGGAGAGCCCAUGCCAUUUCACAUAGACCCCAGGAAAGGAGGUAAAGAGAUAAGGAAUAAAGUCCCAAAUGGCCUCAAACAGUUGGAAAGAUGGAUUUAUUCCAAAAAAGAAAACUACACUAAAUACUGUAAGGGGGAACCAGCAGACAGCCCCAGCAACCAUGUCAAAAACAUCAGAGCAUGUGUCUCUGCAGACAGCCCCAUUCUCCCAAGUUGCUGUGAGAAGACAACGCCGAGAGAACACCCUACUAUCUCACCUUAGCUAGCUAAAGCCAUAUGUGGACCAGGCACUGCUGUGAGGAAAUGGAACAAGAGCAUAAUUGCACUAUUUGGGGAGAUAAGGCAUGACUAAGGGCAAGAUGAAAUCUUGGGGAGAGCUGGUUGUGGUGGUAUAUGCCUGUAACCCCAGGACUUAGGAGCCUGAGGCAGGAGGAUUGUGAGGAGGCUAGCCUGGACUACACAGUGACACCUUUUCUAAAAAAAAAGUAACUAUGGGCCGGGGAUUUAGCUCAGUGGUUUCGCUGCCUGCUGCACAAGCAAGGACCCGAGUUCAAUCCCCAGUAUCAAAAAAAAAAAGUAACUAAAUAAAUUUAAAAUGUUAGGAACAUGUCACUCAGGGAAACUUGAAACCAUGUUCCCAGGCCAUGAUCAUUUAUAUUUACCCAGGGAGAAAAUAUUUCUCUUUUUUUUCCUUUUUGGCUUUUUUGGGACAAGGUCUUGCUAUGUAGUUUAGGCUGGCCUUGAACUCAUUGUGAUCCUCCUGCUUUAGCCUUCCAAGUGCUGGAAUUACAGGUAUGUGCCACCAUGCCCAGCAGAAAAAACUAUUUUAUUAUCUUAAAAAAAAGAAAGAAGAAAAAAAACCCCACAGGCUGGAGCUAGAGAUGUGUCACUCAGUAGUAGAGUAAUUAGCAUGCAAGAGGUCCUGGGUUCAAUCCUAGCACCAAAAAGUUAAAGGUUAUGACAUAAUACAAGGAUCUGUGAAAAAUAAAAAUAUCUUACAAAUAUAAUGUAUAAGUAGAACCCAAUACCACUACUGUCACCCUGCACAAAGGUGCUCUAUAGGCACAUUUAGCGGCUGCAAAUGAACUGUAAAACCCCAUGCUGCUCCAGCCCAAGUCAAGCAUUGAAGGGGUUAAGAGGUAGAAAAGACUGACUAGGAUGAUCGGAUGAUCGUAGGGAUGGGGCAAUUCCCCCUUCUUGCUGACUCCAACCUUUGGAGGUUGCCAAGAGGGCCUGAUUGGUUCUUACUCUUUGAGCCAGGGGCUGGCACUGGCCACCGGGGUCAGUGUGCAGCUCUCUGAAUCCAGGUGACUUAUAAACCAAUGCCUGCGUGCAGUUUGGUCUUGGGAGCAGAUUUUCAGAAAGUGUAGAUAACCAGAAAGGGGCCCCAUCUGUCCAUGAUCCCAUGUCUGCCCCUAGGGGUCACAUCUGGAAGCCCAGUAUCACCUUUACACUCCAACAGUCAGGAUUCACAAUUCCAGUCCUGUCUGCCUCAGACCUUGAUCCAUUCAUUUGGUUCUUACUGAGCAUCUAUGUGCUAGAAACUGGUGAGGCUCUGGGAAUGCAAAGAGGAGUGAGCCCCUACCUUCACUGAGCUGGGAGCCUCCCAGGGGAGCAAACACUAAGCUGGAGAAACCUGUG
rnacentral:lncRNA from 1 species